rnacentral:rRNA from 1 species
CCUACGGGGGGCUGCAGUGGGGAAUAUUGGACAAUGGGGGGAACCCUGAUCCAGCCAUGCCGCGUGUGUGAAGAAGGCCCUCGGGUUGUAAAGCACUUUCAGUGAGGAAGAACGCCUGGUGGUUAAUACCCAUCAGGAAAGACAUCACUCACAGAAGAAGCACCGGCUAACUCCGUGCCAGCAGCCGCGGUAAUACGGAGGGUGCGAGCGUUAAUCGGAAUUACUGGGCGUAAAGCGCGCGUAGGUGGCUUGAUAAGCCGGUUGUGAAAGCCCCGGGCUCAACCUGGGAACGGCAUCCGGAACUGUCAAGCUAGAGUGCAGGAGAGGAAGGUAGAAUUCCCGGUGUAGCGGUGAAAUGCGUAGAGAUCGGGAGGAAUACCAGUGGCGAAGGCGGCCUUCUGGACUGACACUGACACUGAGGUGCGAAAGCGUGGGUAGCGAACAGGAUUAGAUACCCCAGUAGUC